CUGAAAGCACUCCAGCGGACUGUGGGUACUUUGAUUAUUUUCUUUGGUGAGCUCUCCGUGGAGAAAAGCUGAGCUGAGGCAGUGCUGUGUGUAAGAAGGCGCAGAGGGAUGAGCGUUGGUGUCGCCCUGCGGAGCCCAGUAUCAUAGAAUCGUUUGAAUUGGAAGGGACCCUUAAAUGCCAUCAAGUCCAACUCACCUGCAAUGAACAGAGACACCUACGUCUAGAUCAGGGUGCACAGAGACCCUCCAGCCUGACCUUGGAUGUCUACAAUGAUGGAACAAUCACCAUGUGCCAUUUUACUGCAAGGCGACAUUUAGCAUGACUGGUGCCCUGUGAUCCACUCUGUAUAGAAACAUAGGCAUGCCAGUGAUAUUUCUGAGCUGAAGGAAUAGGUGCUAUCUCUGGGAGAGCUGUUUAACCUUCAACACCCAUGGACAACUUCCCCCCUCCUCACCUCCCUUCUGAGGGCUUCACCCUUAGCCAUAAUUGGAGAAAAAAUCUGGAGAGGGGCUGAAGGCUGCAUGGUAAAGACAGACUUCUAAGAAGACAACUAUCAAGUUGGAAGGAAGUGUUGAUCUGCCUGAGGAUAGGAAGGCCCUGCAGAGGGAUCUGGGCAGGCUGGAUCAAUGGACUAAGGCCAAUUGUGUGAACUUCAACAUGACCAAGUCUGGGUCCUGCAUUUUGGUCACAGCAACCCCAUGCAUCACUAUAGACAUGAGGCAUGGCAGCUGGAAAGCUAUAUGGAGGAAAAGGUUCUGGAGGUAUUAGUUGGCAGCCAGCUGAACGUGAGCCAGCAGUGUGCCCAGGUGGCCAAGAAGACCAAUGGCAGGAGCAGGGAGGUGACCAUCCCU